rnacentral:misc_RNA from 1 species
AACGCACAUUGCGCUCUUUGGUAUUCCGGAGAGCAUGCCUGUUUGAGAAUCAGUAAAUUCAUCAACUGCUUCAUUGCGGUUGGAUAUGGGCGCUUUGAGACUUCACAGUCUCAAUAGCCUGAAUUUCAAUGUUACGCUUCCUUGAACCAACAGUUCUAGGGCAUACGCAUGAAUGAGGCAACUCACAAGUACGUUUGUCGUCAAGGGCUGUCAGUUUGCUUGGAGUGUGUAACUCAACCAUUACCCAGAGUUGGCUGACGUCAGUCGGCCUUCCCUGAACACUUGGUCUCAAAUCAGGUAGGAAAACCCGCUGAACUUAA